rnacentral:rRNA from 1 species
UACGUAGGGUGCGAGCGUUAAUCGGAAUACUGGGCGUAAAGCGUGCGCAGGCGGUUUUGUAAGCCAGAUGUGAAAUCCCCGGGCUCAACCUGGGAAUGGCAUUUGGGACUGCAAGGCUGGAGUGUGGCAGAGGAGACUGGAAUUCCUGGUGUAGCAGUGAAAUGCGCAGAUAUCAGGAGGAACACCAGUGGCGAAGGCGGCACUCUGGGCCGGUACUGACGCUGAGGAGCGAAAGCGUGGGGAGCGAACAGG